AUUGAACGCUGGCGGCAUGCCUUACACAUGCAAGUCGAACGGCAGCACGGGUGCUUGCACCUGGUGGCGAGUGGCGAACGGGUGAGUAAUACAUCGGAACGUACCUUAUCGUGGGGGAUAACGCAGCGAAAGCUGUGCUAAUACCGCAUACGCCCUGAGGGGGAAAGCGGGGGAUCGAAAGACCUCGCGCGAUUAGAGCGGCCGAUGCCUGAUUAGCUUGUUGGUGGGGUAAAAGCCCACCAAGGCGACGAUCAGUAGCUGGUCUGAGAGGACGAUCAGCCAAGCUGGAACUGAGACACGGCCCAGACUCCUACGGGAGGCAGCAGUGGGGAAUUUUGGACAAUGGGGGCAACCCUGAUCCAGCAAUGCCGCGUGAGUGAAGAAGGCCUUCGGGUUGUAAAGCUCUUUUGUCAGGGAAGAAACACCGGCUCUAACACAGUCCGGGAAUGACGGUACCUGAAGAAUAAGCACCGGCUAACUACGUGCCAGCCGCCGCCGUAA
rnacentral:rRNA from 1 species